UACGAAGGGGGCUAGCGUUGCUCGGAAUCACUGGGCGUAAAGCGCACGUAGGCGGCUUUUUAAGUCAGAGGUGAAAUCCUGGAGCUCAACUCCAGAACUGCCCUUGAUACUGAGGAUCUUGAGUUCGGGAGAGGUGAGUGGAACUGCGAGUGUAGAGGUGAAAUUCGUAGAUAUUCGCAAGAACACCAGUGGCGAAGGCGGCUCACUGGCCCGAUACUGACGCUGGAGGCACGAAAGCGUGGGGAGCAAACAGGA
rnacentral:rRNA from 1 species